rnacentral:rRNA from 1 species
GAUCCUGGCUCAGGAUGAACGCUGGCGGCGUGCUUAACACAUGCAAGUCGAACGGGAAAUAUUUUAUUGAAACUUCGGUAGAUUUAAUUUAUUUCUAGUGGCGGACGGGUGAGUAACGCGUGGGUAACCUGCCUUAUACUGGGGGGAUAACAGCCAGAAAUGGCUGCUAAUACCGCAUAAGCGCACAGGACCGCAUGGUCCGGUGUGAAAAACUCCGGUGGUAUAAGAUGGACCCGCGUUGGAUUAGCUAGUUGGCAGGG